ACCGCCGGGCGGGGGAUGGGCCCGGGCCGGCCCCGGGCACGCGGCCCCCGAGCUCUCCGCACCCCGCACCGGAGGUUUCCGCCCCAGCGGGGAGAGGAGCGCGGCGCGCACACACAACGCCUCUUAAAGGCUCCGCGAGAGGCUUUGGAUGGAAUCGAGGACUUCGCCUCCCGCAACUUGGCGAUGCCACGAAAUCCGUCGCUCGCGCACCACCCGGGACUCCCGGCGCAUCUUUGUGCCCACAGUGCCAGAGAAAGAGAAAAGUUCCCCGGUUUCUUUGCAGAGGGGUAGUGGGUGGGGGGCAGGAUAGGUGCCGAGAACCGAGCUUGGAGGCAUUUUGCAAACGAAACAUUUGGUCAGAUCCGGGUGACGGUAGACCCUUCUCUUAAGCAACUCUGAUCACUUGCUUGGUUUUGUGGCUUGAUAGACAUUUUUUUUUUUUUCCUUUUUAGAGAGGGAAAAAAGAAAGAAGCCAUUUGGUAUCUGUCUUUUCCUUGCAGGGUUAACAUUUCACAGGUAUGUGGCCUGACAUUUUAAUUGCUCAAAUGAAACAUCUCGGAUGCUGAGAAGCACAAGUAGACUUCAUCUCAUUGUCAUGACGCAAUUAAAAUCAAUUUUCCUCAACUUCAUCCUCUCUCAUUAGUUAUAGCCAACUCACAAGCCAACGUCCUGCCACACUACCCAGUCGUGGAGAGAGGUGAAUAGACCGUUCUGUCCGCUGAUGGACGAGCGGAGGCAGCCUCCCAGCCUCCUAGCCUCCCCUGUGCAUACCCUCUGUACACACAUGUAAGCGCACAUGUAUCAGAUGCAUAUUUGUCAAUGUACACAGACAAAGACUUCAGCGCCUAUGCUUCUAGGUCAUGGAACAGUUGAGGACGAACUUCAUUGUUCCUCAGGUUCCUUUUAGGCAUCCAUUGAGUCAUUAAAACACGACCAACGAUCCUGCUCCAGAUUGGAAAUAAUACCAAGCACAACUCACAGGAACCACACACAAGCCACAGGCCACCUCAAGAGAUUCACUGCAAUAAGAACAACUUAAUAGCCUAUGCCAGUCUGCUUCAAUGUGCUAAAAUCAUCAACAUGGUUGUGUCUCUGAACUCCAGGGCGUUUGGCUUUAAACAUCACACAUCUAGAAUUGGCCCCACGGAACACACUGUAUUUCAGGGCAGGCACCUUUCGGUUUGAUCAUGAGAAGUUCAUUAUGAUUGUUCAACGUUUAGAAAACAAAAUUUUGACAGCAUCGCACACGUUUUGCCCCAAGAAAAACUGUAAACUUGGAAGCCAACCAGGUUUAUGAACAGUUGAAAUAUUUUACAUCAACCACGCCGAGUUUCAGGAAACAUGAACACAUAUGAAGAGUAAAGUAAUGACCCCAGGAAAGCAUCCUUGAUAGUGCAAAAAAUGGACGAGAUGAAAGGUGUAAAAAAAACCAACCAUAGACCACACAUACGAUUGACCUGUGCUGGUGUGUGCUCUUUGCAUUCAAUAAAUACCCUUUACCCACAGGCAGAAUACAAGGUAGGUACUCAGUGAAGAUACAGGCAGACAGGGGCUAGUUUUUAGGAGAGGAGAAACCCUCUUUACACUUCCUUGCUGGAACCUUCUUAGUCCUCACCCUUUCUCCGCUGAAAUCACGUAUUUCACUAAAGCUGCAGGUGCUGGGAUUAUUUGAAAGUUGUAAAAAAAAAAAAAAACCAACUACAGUGGACACUGAACUAUCAUAAACCUGGUGUACAAUGAGAUUGCCACAGAGAAGGCAGGCUGAGAAUUUCAGGUUGAUUAGAGACACAAUAUCACUUUCUCUUAAAGAGGACAGAAGGAUGGAAAAGAAAUCAUUUCAAAGGUUUUUUUUUCCCCCCCUUUCAACUCCUAUGAUUCAAGGGAUUGCCUAAUGCUACAAAUGUCAGUAGAUUAGGGGCAAUCUCAGCAGAGAUGUGGUGGGGCUGGGAUGAGACAGGAAAUCUAAUGGACAUACCCAUCUCAAUUUAAUAGAAGAGAAUAAUUGAUUGUAGGGAAAUCUUAAUCUUGCCUCUUGAGUGCAGACACUUCCAUAGCAAGAUCACCUUUUACAGACAUGCAGUGGGAAAUUUCUGAAAAGCAACAGCUUCCACAGGGCACUUAGAGAUUUUUGGUGUUUGAAGUAUGCUCUGAUGGACUCAGAUUUAAAAUGAAGAAUUUCCCAAUCUCCUACAGAACUGGAGCCUGCCACAGCACACGACCACAGGCUUCCCGUGAAGUCAGACGUGUUUCACUCUGUAUUUUAGAUUCAUUCAGUUAUGGGGAUGCUAUUAGAAAUUCAAAACAAUAAAUAAAUGACCAUAUCAAUCGUAGUUAAUUUUUACUGCAUAUAAGAAGAGAAAAGACUGCAGACUGAGAAAAAAAAUGGAGGGGAGAAUAUUUUCAAAUGCCUUCUUCAGAGAUGCUCAUUUCCCUUGAAUAAAACAGCUCUAAGUCUAAAAGAGAAAUAUCAAUAUGUCGUUACUGUUCAAAAAAAAAAAUCCAGCCCAGUCUUUUAUUGCAGAUGUAAAUUUAUUUUAAUGAGGGGAAUGGCAAGCUUUAAUUUGGCUGGAGAAAGUUGGAAAAACAUUUGUUUUACUCUGGUGGAAAAAAAAAAAAAGUAAAGCAAACCCACCCAGGAAUAUGAUUUUCUUGCAGCAAGUGGCCUGACGGCUGUCAUUCUCCCCAAAUGAAAUCACAAUAUGAAUACAGACCCCAGCAAAUGCCGAGUUUAACUCUGAACUCAGUAGAAACCAGUUCUGUCCACCAGGAUUCAUUGAAUUCCUCCUUUCCCUCAAUCUAGUUCGUGUGUGUUUUUUCUCUUCCACCACACUGGAGCUCCAUGAAUAGGGAAAGGGGUUUCCAUUGUGUCCCUCUGAACUUCCAAGUCAAUGCAAUUUUUAACCACUGGCUUGUGGUACUUUGAAAAUCACCAGGGGCUGUCAGAGUUGGGUCCUCUGAAAAAUUUACAGUGCUAAAUCAGAGCAUAUGCUGGGAGGGAAAAAAUUGCUUAACAUUGGAGCAAGUACAGUAUCUGUCUGCCCCCUAGUGUAAGAGUCCUCGCUGCCUAAAAUUCAACUUUAAAAGAAAAGGAGCUCUUAAAGGGAAACGACUUGGAGCUCACGUAGGCAUACGAGAAUGAAACUUCUGUACAUUUUAAUCUGAAUAAUUCUUCAGGAUUUAAAAUUAAUUGGCUCUAGCUUGGUUGGACCGGACUCGGAUCUCGCCACCGCUGCGUUUCCCGAGUCACUGGCGGGGAGAGGUGAUCUUCUUCUUUUUUUUUUUUUUUCCUCCCUGAACUGGGUUUAUGUGCGUCCCCCUCACCCCCUCCUCUCUUUUUCUUUCUCUGUCUCUGUCGUCUCUCUCGCUGGCUUUUUAAAAAUGAGGAACCGUUCCUUGAAUGUUCUGGACAGAGCACAGAAUUGCUUCUUAAGUCAGCCCGACGCGGUUGCAAUAGACAGCCAAAAGGUAAACGUUUGCCUGAAAUCCGCACGCCAGUUCCGCCACCCCGCCCGAUGGUCUCGUUUCCUCUGGGAUUGCUCCUGAGCGGGCUGUCUUCAUGCCAGGGGCGGGCAGUCGAAUCGCUGGCCUUCACGGGACCACUGGACAUCUGGCAGAAAACAGGAAGCCGUGACUUCGCUCAGCCGGAAAACUACGAGAUAAAGAAAGAGGAAGGUUCACUGGAUUAUCUGAGGUCGGACUGCUGGGGUGAGAAUUGAACCCCAUCCUGGUUGACGACAGAGUUUACACUCUUAUCAUUCCUCAUGACGUGUGGAUAAUUUUAUUUUUUAAUGCUUAUUGAUUUAUUUUGAGAGAACAAGAGAGAGCGUGCACCCGUGUGUACGUGGAUAAGGAGCGGAGAGAGAGAAUCCCAAGCAGCCUCCCCACUGUCAGCACAGAGCCCUACGUGGGGCUCGAUCCCACGAACCGUGAAAUCAUGACCUGAGCUGAAAUCAAAAGUCGGGACGCUUAAUCGACUGAGCCACCCAUGCAUCCUUUAUGCGGAUAAUUUUAAGUAAAAAACAAAUAUUAGCCACCCCCCCCCCCCCCGGCAACAGACCCUGGAAAGAAGCCCCCAAACUCCAAACCCAAAACAAGCCAGCAUCAACACACACAAAUCUGACAAACUUGCUCUUCUGGUAAUCACACUGAAAAGUACAUAGCAAAGCUUAGACCGAGAGAACACGCCAAAGUUGAACAAGCUCAUCUGCGACCAGCCAAUAACAUGCCAGAAUGUUCUUUGUCCCCCGAUGUGAGGUGGGGGGUGUUGUUUCGCUGGUGCUCCGGACGCCCCUACGGUUUCUUUGGAGCCUCGUCUACACCUGCGACACUAAGGUUUGUGAAGUCACUCGAGUCUCAUGAAGGAUUUAGUUGCACUGCGUUGCCGUGAACGCUUGGAUUUGGAAGCAAGGCUCACGACUGCCUUCUGGAUUUUCCAUGGUAGGGUGAAAAAAAAAAUGCGCGACACACAUCACCAAGAAUCCAUGUCUGUGCCUGGCAGUGUAAUCGAGAAAAACUUUGGAAUGCGAGUGGACGGCAUUAUGAAUAGCUUUCCUUAGCGCACCUGCAGAAAGGCACUACCUUUAGACACACCUUUGCCAAGCGCGUGUGCAUAAGGCACAGUGUUAGACGGAUGUGACAAAUGGGUGGGUGAUGCCUUUGUAGAAGAUUCUCCCAGGACUCUGACGGGCUGAGGUUUAGAGAUGCCCAUACAGCCUCCGGGCGCUAAGAAGAUGACAGCCGGGGCCCGAUAUCAGCCCAUGAAAUAUUUUCAUCAUCAGGAUGAAGAAAAUUAUUUUGCACCGUUUCUGUUGUUCGGAAGUGGGAACAUUUUCGGGUGUGAAUCCCCCAAGGGACUUUCUGUGGCCUCCCUACCUCUUAUCCGGGAUUGUGCAGUAUGGAGUCAGAAACGCCAUGGGAAGAAGUCGUUGGGCUGCCUUCUCCAGGAGCUUUCCCUGGGCAGUCGUCUCUGCCCAUGUUACGGAAGACGGCAAAAAUCCGAGCCAUCAUGCAUCUGGCCAAUUAUGCAAUGCUCCGUCGCGAGGGGAAAUUCCUUCCUCACCCCAGCUGGUGAACAGUUAUGCCCUGGAGCCCAGGACGGCCAUGCCUUGUAACUUUUUAACCUAGUUAGCGUAACUGCCAAUAUUAUUCCUAUUCAUAUAAAUGUCUAAUCCUUUCUUGAAUCUUGCUAGACUAUUUGCCUCAAUAAUACCCUGCGGCAGUGAAUUCCACAGGUAGAUUAUACGCUGUUUUAAGAAGUAUUUCCUUUUUUUUUUUCAUUUUAAAUUUGUUACCUUUUAACGUCACAGGAUGGCCUUGUUCUUGCAUGAAGGGGCCCGGGGUCCAGGCGUUUCAAGUUCUGCUUUAAUUUUUCCAAGCCCUUCGCCAUCAUUAGAACUCUGUCUUCGUCAGGUAUUUUCGGUUUUGGUGUAUCCGAUCUUGAUUAAACGAGAUGAUUGAUGUGAAUAGUCUCAUAUGGCUUUGGCACAUAGUAGGCACCGGAAAAAAGCUCUCCUUGGUAUUCAUUCCACUUACUGGACAGCUUUUUUUUUUUUGAGUACCUACUGCGUGCAGGAAUCAUUGUAAGUACUGGAGAGACAGCGUUGAAUGAGACAGGGUCCUUGUUGGAAGGACCCAAUUGGGAAGGACCCAAUUUCCUAGAGAAGAUGAGCAGCGAUGUAGUGAACAAAGAUGAACGACAGGGUCUCCAGUACUCGUAAGUACUACGGGAAAAUUAGAGAAGAGUGGUUGGCAGAGGAUGGAAGGGGCCCCAUGAGAUUGCACCGUCAGGGAGUAACUCACUGAAAAGGGGCCGGUUGAGCUGGCCCUCAAGGAAGCAUCGGUGUGAAAUCUCCACGAAGGUGAACCCACGCUCCCAGACAAUGCCUGGCAGGAGCUUCUGGAUAUUAUCCUGAAGAAGUAAAGAUGGAUGGGCUUCUCUGAUGAGCUUUUUUAGCAACCGGCAUACCGUAUCCUGCUGAAUCUUUUCUGCGCAAGCCUGAGGGUCACUAAGAUGCGACUAAGGGUCUAUAUUAAUCUGGAGAAAUGCAUUGACCAUCGGUGUUAAGGAACAUCUCUCACUGGUGACUAAGAAAAUAAUCAAUCUUAUAGCAAGUACCAACUGGAGACACAAAGAAGGCAGCAUUGACUCUGCUCUUAAGGAACUCCCGGAAGGAGACAGAAGAAGAAUCAACACGAAGAGUUGUAUACCACGGAGCAAAUGAAACAGCCCCCCAUUACUGAGCGCUAACAGGGUGAGUCUGUCUAGCUGAAGACAUCUACUGAAGAGAGUCCAGCUAAUUACAUGCAAGGAUUAACUUCUCAAGGACUCAGAAAAAGGGUGUUGUUUUAUCCAGUUCAGGGAAGACACGGCUUCUUCAUCAACUGCUAAGGUGACGGUGAUGCUGCGGAAAGAAGUCAUACAGGUUUACAGGUCUGAGCUCAACUAUCCCUUCCCCAGGGAAAUCGUCCCUGAAGCCUAGAAAACAUCAGUCCCCUCCUUAUCUACCCCCGGUGCUCCUUCUUCUUUGGGGUACCGCUCACAGUGGAUGCACUGACCGUCCAACUGUCCAGAAUCGUCCCCAGUAAGGAACCCUCCCAAAGGCUGAGCCACGUGAAGUCUAAAGAGGAAUCACCGUCAUUCGGAAAACUCGGAUCAGCUUCCUUCUGCGUUGCCUGAACAUCGGUGUCAUCUGGGUAAAGUGUUUUGAGGAAAAUUUAUGCCUCCUCACAAAGAAACAGCUGUGCAUCGCCACAGUCACUAACUUUUGAAAGAUGUUACAAGAAGGUGUUCAUUUCAAGUCAGUUGCUUCAGCUACAGCUUUCCCUUCAUGUUUUAAUAUCAUGGCGUCUCCUUCUGGUCCCCUAAGUGUUACCUGGUUUCUCUGGAGGAGUGGGGGAACCCAGGACCCAUAAGUUAUGGCUCCUAUUAAGAGGGUUGGCUGGACGUGCGGACAAUGUGUCAAUAAUUAUUUCUGGCGGGGCCUUAACAGCAGAGGAAGUGCCUCUGUAGAGUGGCUUAUUUUAACAGAAGACAGAUAUGCCUGACCCGGGUUUUAUGACAGAUGUCAAAUAUAUCGAAGUGUGUCGUGAAGCAGAUCGUCUUAUUGGCAAAGAAAUGAAAGACCACCAGGAAGAUGGAUGGGAAGAUUUCCUCAAGGGGUUUCCCGUCUCCUCGCGCAGGUGGGUGGAUCCAGCACCGGGUGUUGGGCUUGGUGGAAGCUGGAUCUCACUUCACACAGUGCUGGGCACAACGUGCAUCCUGGCGACACCACGAAGAACAAGCUUAAGAAAGCCGAUCUUGUGCGUUGGCUAGGUUUUCCCCGUCAUCACCUGGGCUUUUCACCACGACUGCCUACAAACAAGAGAUUCUGUCAGAGGGGAAGUGGGAACCGACUGGUUUCAUUCGUUUCAUCCUCCAAACCGGCUGCCAAGGUGGUUAAAGGCUUUGUCUACGGAACAGAAAAGGCAAACCUCCCUCGAAGGGAAAAGCAGAAUCUUGUCUCACGUAAGAGACAGGAACAGGGUCCGCCGCAUCCUCGAAAAGGAUUCGAUGCAACUCUUUGGAAAUUAACUUCCUCAGAGCCAAGGAGAGCUAGACUGUUUCUCAGUGGAUUGUGUCCUGCAGCGAGUAGUAAGGAAGCUGCCAUCCCUCUUGGGAUACCUCAUUGGGUACCAUAUACUUCCGGGCGAGGACGUGGACUCCUUGGGCGUCCAACAUUGUGCCUUGUGCACACUAGUGCCUUCCACUGAUGAGUUGUAUCUGGGGCUGACAAGUAUAUGGCUUCCUCUUUUGGAGACGACCGUCCCCUCCCAGGGAGGUACGGAUGCAGAGGGUGCUGAUGAGGUUGGGGGCGGGGAGGAAUAAGUCUACCGCUAGGUCGAUUAGAUGACCGAAUCUAGCCUCUUGAGUUAGAGCGGGGCCUUUGGUACCUCUCCCGGGGGAGAUAGCAGCCCUUUAUCUCAGCCGUCACCCCCUACAGCUGCACGUUCUUUCGAGUCGAUUUGACCGGUCAUGAGAAAUUUUGUAACACAUAUGCAUUGACACCUGCCAUCUCUAAGGUACUGAAUGAGAACACGACGAAAUGGACCUGCAAUCGACAUUGGUGUUUUCAGAGUUCCACGGAUCUCACGGUGGCAAAUACUUCUUUAAGGCAGGAACAGCUGUCAGCUGUCUUUCCGAAGCGAACAGUUUCUGGGGCACCUGGGUGGCUCAGUUGGUUGAGCGUCCGACUUCGGUUCAGGUCACGAUCUCGCGGCUCGUGAGUUUUGAGCCCUGUGCCGACAGCUCAGAGCCUUGGAGCCUGCUUCCGAUUCUGUGUCUCCCUCUCUCUCUGCCCCUCCCCCCCACCCCGAUCUUUCUCAAAAUAAAUAAACGUUAAAAAAAAUUGAAAGAAGUGCAUAGUUUCUAUUUGAGAAACUGUGGGCACCUGUGAGGAAGAAUACCAAUCGUGAGAGACUGGGUGCCAGGUGGCCUGUAACCAAGUUGUUAAAAAUCUUCUGGGCAGAAGAACAUAAGGGUCAGAAUCAAGGCACUGAAGACGUAAAGGAGGGAAUGAAACCGAAAGACAAUUAGUGGGUAGAAUGACAAAAAAAAAGUACUUGAGGGUUACUCCCUGGGGUCUAGUUGGGAAGCUCGGGUGAAGAGAGAUUUUGAGUAGAAGGUGAAAAAGUUGAUUCAUUUUGGGCUGUGAUAUAAUUGUGGUGUCUAUAAGACCAACAGCGUUGAUCAACUCAUUCAAUAGUUGGAGAAACUAAUCUGUAGCUCAAGAUACACGUGGACAUAACUUUACCUUUCUGUGAUGCUUCAGAUGACUCUUUGGUAUCUAGCCAUGUCUCAGGGGUCACCGUAAUUAACAUUAAGUGUUGCUUGACCGUAAAUGUAUAGAGUUGCAGGUUGUAGAGAGCUGUGUUUAAUAGAAAGCCGAAAACAAGCCAUUAACUAGAUUUACUAAUAGGUGCCUUGCCCAGGAACAGUGCAUCGGGGAAAAAAAAAAAAAACAAGCAAGCAAACAAAAAAAACAUAUAAAUUAAUAUGUCCAGAAAAAAAAAAGAAAAAGGAAGAUACAACCCUUGUUCAAGGAACUUAUUAUCUUCAGCCUAUAGAAGAUAUGACAGGUGGCCAGAUUACCUGUGUUAGGAUCAUGGACCUUGCGCUUGCUAUAUGACCUUGGGCAAGUUAGGUAACUUUUUAAAGCUUGGAUUUGCUCCCUUGCCAAAUCAUCUUUGCAGAAUAUUAGUAUCCUCCUCAUUAAGGAGUUGUAAGGAUUAGCUACGGCGAAACAAAAAUUGAUUUCCUGUAUUUUGAUGGUGUACAAUAAAUUUCUUUAGGAAAUAAUGUGUGCAUUGUGAUCUAUUUAAUAAAUUUUACUCUUGCUUUAUUUGAUUUCCAGUUAAUGCCAAAUAAUAACCUGUCUAUUUGAAUUGCAAAAAUCAAGCUGGUUUGAAUUAAAGAAGUGUGAAAAAUUCUUGGGUUGGCAAAAUACGGUAACACUGCCAUCAAUUAAAAAUAGGUAAAAUGUGUUAGAAAUCAUGAAAAGUUCACGCUUUAAUUGAACUGGCUUUUUCACGAGCCUGUGUUUUUACGCAGCUUAAUGAAACAAAAAUUGAAACAGUGCCCAUUCUGAAAUCUGCGUUAAUUGUUAUUAUUUCCAGAAAGUUCGCAUGAUUACAAAAAAGUUUUGCUGUCAUGCCAAGUAGAAAUGUACAGUACCUGCCUUUCAUUUUCUCUGGAUUUCUUUUUGGUAAUAAAGACCAACAUUCAUUUUGGCAAACAGA